UACGUAGGUGGCAAGCGUUGUUCGGAUUUACUGGGCGUAAAGGGCGCGUAGGCGGCAUGACAAGUCACUUGUGAAAUCUCCGGGCUUAACUCGGAACGGCCAAGUGAUACUGUCAAGCUAGAGUGCAGAAAGGGCAAUCGGAAUUCUUGGUGUAGCGGUGAAAUGCGUAGAUAUCAAGAGGAACACCUGAGGCGAAGGCGGGUUGCUAGGCUGACACUGACGCUGACAGCGCGAAAGCCAGGGGAGCAAACGGG
rnacentral:rRNA from 1 species